GGCAGCUCAAGUGGUAGCCAUUUUUAUUGGGCCUAAAGCGUUCGUAGCCGGUUUGAUAAGUCUCUGGUGAAAUCCCACAGCUUAACUGUGGGAAUUGCUGGAGAUACUAUUAGACUUGAGGUCGGGAGAGGUUAGCGGUACUCCCAGGGUAGGGGUGAAAUCCUGUAAUCCUGGGAGGACCACCUGUGGCGAAGGCGGCUAACUGGAACGAACCUGACGGUGAGGGACGAAAGCCAGGGGCGCGAACC
rnacentral:rRNA from 1 species